GACGAACGCUGGCGGCGUGCCUAAUACAUGCAAGUCGAACGCAGUGGGGACGGGUGAGUAACACGUGGGUAACCUCCCAUCAGAGGGGAUAACACUUGGAAACAGGUGCUAAACCGAUACUGAUGGAUGAACCCGCGGUGCAUUAGCUAGUUGGUGAGGGAACGGCUCACCAAGGCCACGAUGCAUAGCCGGUCGGAGAGGGUGAUCGGCAAAACUGGGACUGAGACACGGCCCAGACGCCUACGGGAGGCAGCAGUAGGGAAUCUUGGGCAAUGGACGAAAGUCUGACCGAGCAAUGCCGCGUGAGUGAAGAAGGUUUUCGGGUCGUAAAACACUGUUGUCAGAGAAGCGGUAUCUAAACAGAAAGCAACGGCUAACUCCGUGCCAGCAGCCGCGGUAAUAC
rnacentral:rRNA from 1 species